CAGUCGAACGGCAGCGCGGGAGCAAUCCUGGCGGCGAGUGGCGAACGGGUGAGUAAUACAUCGGAACGUGCCCAAUCGUGGGGGAUAACGCAGCGAAAGCUGUGCUAAUACCGCAUACGAUCUACGGAUGAAAGCAGGGGAUCGCAAGACCUUGCGCGAAUGGAGCGGCCGAUGGCAGAUUAGGUAGUUGGUGAGGUAAAGGCUCACCAAGCCUUCGAUCUGUAGCUGGUCUGAGAGGACGACCAGCCACACUGGGACUGAGACACGGCCCAGACUCCUACGGGAGGCAGCAGUGGGGAAUUUUGGACAAUGGGCGCAAGCCUGAUCCAGCCAUGCCGCGUGCAGGAUGAAGGCCUUCGGGUUGUAAACUGCUUUUGUACGGAACGAAACGGCCUUUUCUAAUAAAGAGGGCUAAUGACGGUACCGUAAGAAUAAGCACCGGCUAACUACGUGCCAG
rnacentral:rRNA from 1 species